AGAACAGACCCCUGAUUGGUCCAGAAACAGGAGAAGCUGCCUGGAGAGGAUGGAGCAGAUCUACAGAUCUGCCCUGCAAUUUGACUACAGACGACAUCAAAUUAACCCCUGUCUCCUUGAACUUCAGAUUUUGUUACUGGCAACUAGACUUUGUACUCAAGCAUCAACUCAGAAAGGCAACAUCUGAGUUUCCUUUUGGUUUAUAUUAAAUUACUUCCAGUUUUAUGGCA